rfam:Oryza glaberrima chromosome 1 Oglab01_0090_4, whole genome shotgun sequence.
AAAAAGGCAAACCUUAGGUUUGCGUGUCCAACUUUAACUGUCCGUCUUAUAUGAAAAUUUUUUAUAAUUCGUAUUUUUAUUAUUGUUAGAUGAUAAAGCAUGAUUAAUACUUUGUGCGUGACUUGUCUUUUUAAUUUUUUUCAUAAUUUUUUCAAAUAAGACGAACGGUCAAACAUUGGGCACGGAAACCAGGGUUUGUCUUUUU